UCAGGUUUAGAUUGUGUCAUUUAUCCAACGAUCACUAAUUUAAUCAAAGGAAUUUUCUGAGAAGUGACUGUGUCUUACUCUGCAGCACAACUACUACAUUUAUAGCGAUCCAAAAUGAAAUUGAAACAGAUUGACUUACAUUCCCACUAGAAAUGUAUAAGGACACCAACACUUUAACUUCUUGCCAAAAAGUGUUAUGGGAAUCAGAAUCAGUCUAUGAUGCAUGUAGGCAAUACUGGAGAACACUAAAAAGAG